rnacentral:rRNA from 1 species
GACGUAGGGCGCGAGCGUUGUCCGGAUUUAUUGGGCGUAAAGAGCUCGUAGGCGGCUUGUCGCGUCGACUGUGAAAACCCGUGGCUCAACCAUGUGGUCUGCAGUCGAUACGGGCAGGCUAGAAUUCGGUAGGGGAGACUGGAAUUCCUGGUGUAGCGGUGAAAUGCGCAGAUAUCAGGAAGAACACCCGUGGCGAAGGCGGCUUCCUGGACCGACACUGACGCUGAGGCGCGAAAGCUAGGGGAGCAAACGGG